GGAAUUUAAGAACCUAGCCAUAAGGAUCUUGUGUCAAUUGGCAAAGGUUUUAGGGAUGGAUGAAAAGGAAAUGAGAGAUCUAUCCAAUGAUGGUAUGCAGUUAAUAAGGAUGAAUUAUUAUCCUCCUUGUCCUGAGCCAGAAAAAACUAUUGGCAUAAGUCCUCAUUCGGAUGCUGAUGCCCUCACCAUCCUUCUCCAGCUCAAUGAAACUGAAGGUCUCCAAGUUCGAAAAGACGGUGUCUGGGUGCCUGUAAAGCCCCUC
rnacentral:misc_RNA from 1 species